rnacentral:lncRNA from 1 species
UUUGCAUCGCACUUCAACUAAAGUGGCAGUUUCCCGUUCCUUUCUAAAGAUACCUUCCCCAUGUGUGGGAUUUUAUAGCUGAAAGAACCCCUACAUUUCAGUUUUUCAGUCAUACACUGCUGUAAAGUUAGAAAUAUAUGAUUCGACUUAAUGGACGGGAACUCAUCAUAUGCCUUGUCAACCACAUUGAUUAAAUCAUCAAUUGUUUUAGGAGCCUCCUGGUGCUGUUGUG